rnacentral:misc_RNA from 1 species
GAUGAAGAACGUAGCGAAAUGCGAUAAGUAAUGUGAAUUGCAGAAUUCAGUGAAUCAUCGAAUCUUUGAACGCUCAUUGCGACCGCCAGUAUUCUGGCGGGCAUGCCUGUUCGAGCGUCAUUACAACCCUCAGGCCCCCGGGCCUGGCGUUGGGGAUCGGCGGAAGCCCCCUGCGGGCACAACGCCGUCCCCCAAAUACAGUGGCGGUCCCGCCGCAGCUUCCAUUGCGUAGUAGCUAACACCUCGCAACUGGAGAGCGGCGCGGCCACGCCGUAAAACACCCAACUUCUGAAUGUUGACCUCGAAUCAGGUAGGAAUACCCGCUGAACUUAAGCAUAUCAAUAAGCGGAGGA